UAGGGAAUCUUCGGCAAUGGACGGAAGUCUGACCGAGCAACGCCGCGUGAGUGAAGAAGGUUUUCGGAUCGUAAAGCUCUGUUGUAAGAGAAGAACGAGUGUGAGAGUGGAAAGUUCACACUGUGACGGUAACUUACCAGAAAGGGACGGCUAACUACGUGCCAGCAGCCGCGGUAAUACGUAGGUCCCGAGCGUUGUCCGGAUUUAUUGGGCGUAAAGCGAGCGCAGGCGGUUUGAUAAGUCUGAAGUUAAAGGCUGUGGCUCAACCAUAGUUCGCUUUGGAAACUGUCAAACUUGAGUGCAGAAGGGGAGAGUGGAAUUCCAUGUGUAGCGGUGAAAUGCGUAGAUAUAUGGAGGAACACCGGUGGCGAAAGCGGCUCUCUGGUCUGUAACUGACGCUGAGGCUCGAAAGCGUGGGGAGCGAACAGGAUUAGAUACCCUGGUAGUCCACGCCGUAAACGAUGAGUGCUAGGUGUUGGAUCCUUUCCGGGAUUCAGUGCCGCAGCUAACGCAUUAAGCACUCCGCCUGGGGAGUACGNNCGCAAGGUUG
rnacentral:rRNA from 1 species